rnacentral:lncRNA from 1 species
AGAUCCUUAGAAUAUACACAAAGUUUUCAUGGACCACACAUUAUGAAACACUGGAUUAGCGCAAAGUGAAAUGCUUCCAGAGUAGGAGCCACUAUUCUGAGGAAUCUUGGAAGAAAAAUCCCCAGAUAGCAGAUGACUGGUAGGAAGAUGAGGCAAGUUUGCGGUCCAUUGUCAUGGAUAGUGGAGACAACACUGGGCCAGAAGUGGUAAGACCUGAAUCCAAGACUCAGCUCUGCCACUUGCUAAAUGGGACUUUGAAUAAACCAUUUCUCUGCACUUAAGUUCCUUACCAACAAAACGAGGGAAGUGGCCUACAUGCCUAGAUAUCAACAUUUCAUGUCACGUAGAGAUCUAGCAUCACAAGAAUCCAAGUCAUCCUCUGUUGCCUUUAAGAAAUUAGAAUUAAAGGAAUCAGAAUUGAAGUGAAUCUGACUACACUAAGCCUAUCACUUGUGACAGCCAUGGGAAGAUAUCAUUGGUUGCUGAGGAGCAGAAAUAAGCAGAGACCUAUUGUGUUAGGUUAUCAUUCAUUUCAGACAAAAAGCAGAUCAGCAAGUUUUCAUAUUGCACUAUUUUCAAUGGCUGGAGCAUCAACAUUUUACAACAAGAAAAAAAUUAAAAUUCUUCAACAUUUGGAAAAGAAGUGUUUGUAAAACUUUUCACAUCCAUUCACCAUCCGGAAAAGCAAGGUUUUACAGUGAGGCCUGAUGAUGUCUAGAGUCACCAUGCAUCUUGGAAAAUGACCUCCUAUUUAUUUCUUCUACAGGACACCAUGGUGUUCACCUUUCUACAACUUUACACUUGCUGAGGACAUAUUGUGGAAAAUUAAGAGAAAUAUAUAUGGAUGGCCAAGGCUGUA